UCAAAGGAAUUGACGGGGACCCGCACAAGCGGUGGAUGAUGUGGAUUAAUUCGAUGCAACGCGAAAAACCUUACCUACCCUUGACAUGUACGGAAGGCCGAAGAGAUUUGGCUGUGCUCGAAAGAGAACCGUAACACAGGUGCUGCAUGGCUGUCGUCAGCUCGUGUCGUGAGAUGUUGGGUUAAGUCCCGCAACGAGCGCAACCCUUGUCAUUAGUUGCUACGAAAGAGCACUCUAAUGAGACUGCCGGUGACA
rnacentral:rRNA from 1 species